AGCUCAGUUGGUAGAGUGUUUGCCUCGCAUGCACAAAGCCUGGGUUCAAUCCCCAG
rnacentral:tRNA from 1 species